UACGGAGGGUGCAAACGUUGCUCGGAAUCAUUGGGCGUAAAGCGCGUGUAGGCGGCUUUGCAAGUCGGGUGUGAAAGCCCUCAGCUUAACUGAGGAAGUGCGCCCGAAACUGCAGAGCUUGAGUACCGGAGAGGAUGGCGGAAUUCCCCAAGUAGAGGUGAAAUUCGUAGAUAUGGGGAGGAACACCGGUGGCGAAGGCGGCCAUCUGGACGGAUACUGACGCUGAGGCGCGAAAGCGUGGGGAGCGAUCCGG
rnacentral:rRNA from 1 species